AUGGUAACCGGCCAACAUCCGAGCCGCGAGCUCCGCCCACGAGCAUCGCGCCUCCCACCACCGAGGCCGCCGCCCCGGCAUCCGAGACCACCCCUCGACCGCCGCCGCCGCACACCAACAUCGUCAACCGGUGAAGGGGCAGUAAAGACCCCCUCUUUCCACCCCAAACAAGCUCCUAUGGCAGGAGCGGCCGGCAGCCAGAUCUGGGCAGGGAAAAUGCCGGCGGCCAGCCAUGCUGCAGCCACCCGAGACACCCGAUCUGGCACCUCCAAAUCGCGGCGACGGCGAGUCCGGGAGGCACCCCUGCCUCCCCCUCACGGCGCCCUUGCCAUUCACCGGCCAGCCGAGCCGCACCAGAGCACAAGAGGAGCCGCCACCAGCAGCCGAUUCAUGCGCCACGACGGCCGUAGAGGAGGGGGUCGAGCAUACCGCUGCCGCGCCGCCACCUCCGCCAGCCCGCGCCGGAGAAGAGGAAACCAUCCACGACCUGUGCCGACCGCAGCCCUUGCUGCUGGAGGAGAAGAUGACCGGCCGCCGCCGCCGCUCCAGGCACACACCGCCACCACGCCGCCCGUCGCGCCGUCGCUGCAGACGAACCGCCGUGGCACCCAGCGUCAGCACCACGCCCCGGCCUGGGGUGUUUGA
rnacentral:rRNA from 1 species